rnacentral:rRNA from 1 species
GGGUCAGUAGGUUGGUCGUGCCACCGGUACGUACUGGUCUCACUGAUUCCUCCUUCCUGAAGAACCGUGAUGCCAUUAAUUUGGUGUUGCGGGGAAACAGGACUGUUACUUUGAAAAAAUUAGAGUGUAUAAAGCAAGCUAACGCUUGAAUACAUUAGCAUGGAAUAAUGAAAUAGGACGAUCGAUCCUAUUUUGUUGGUUUCUAGGAUUGACGUA